rnacentral:lncRNA from 1 species
CGUGGGCGCUACCUAACCGAGUAUGCAAGUGUGUCUCUGCCGAGCUCAAUCAGGCUCUCACAGACUAAAAUCCAAGUAAACAGGGUCCAACUAGUCUAACAACCAAACUCACAUGCCCUAGGCACAAUCUGAUGCAAAAACAGCAAUCUGGGUCUACCGUCAACCUCAACAGCACCCGACAGUCCGAAACAACCUAAACACUGCUGUAAAAAUAAGCUCGACAUCUCAACACGAGCGUAAAAAUAUUCUACACUAUUCUGGGUAUCCACCGCCCACAAACUGCGGUGAUACAAACAAACUACGACUCCUAGAGCUAAAUCUGGUAGUUUUAACAUAUGACAGUGUAGAAGCGCUAGUUUUCUCCUAAGUCAAUUUCAAGUCCAACAUGUAUAAUUUAUCUAACUUAUUACAGCAUGCUCCAAAUUCAGAUUUCAUUUAAUAUGCUAAUCGAUGAAUUCGAGCUAAAAACAUGAUAUAUAACUGCUAAAAAUAUACAUGUUAACUACGCGUACACUU